GACAGAGGGUGCAAACGUUGUUCGGAAUUACUGGGCGUAAAGCGAGUGUAGGCGGUUUCCUAAGUCGGGUGUGAAAGCCCCGGGCUCAACCCGGGAAGUGCACUCGAAGCUGGGAGGCUAGAGUAUCGGAGAGGUUGGUGGAAUUCUCGGUGUAGAGGUGAAAUUCGUAGAUAUCGAGAGGAACACCGGUGGCGAAGGCGGCCAACUGGACGAAUACUGACGCUGAGACUCGAAAGCGUGGGGAGCAAACAGG
rnacentral:rRNA from 1 species